rnacentral:rRNA from 1 species
AAAAGUCAUUGUAAGAUUAACCAUUAUUAAUAAUUUAAAAUUAAAAUAUUUAAAUAAUAGGUGUUAAGUAAGGAUAUAGUAAUGUUAUACAGCUUAGGCAUACUAAUAGAAAAGACCAAAAAAAUUAUAU